UUGCAUUUACUUUUCAUACUUUAUAUAUCAUAUCUAUGCCUCAGUUAGCCUAGUGGUGUAUUUUGAUGAGGUCGGCGACUUGCCCACUCGGAACUAUUGAUUAAUAGUUCUCACGCCCUCUGUUUUGUUGUUUUAUUUCAGAGCCUUCCGCAGCGUGAAAGGCUAGGGAUCGUGGCAAGGGAGGUAAUGACUAGCUAGAACCUCGCGAUAUGUGAU
rnacentral:lncRNA from 1 species